AAAAUAAAUUGGGAGCUUAUCCGGCUAUUCACGUCACUCUCUCUCUACCAUUCAUCUGCAACACCCUAGAGAGAGAGAGAGUUAUUUUUUAUGGGUUUGUAGGGAAGGUUGAAAGUUAGGGGCUGUUUGAGAAGAACUGGUAUUUUGGGUUUGGAUUUAUAUAUAUAUAUAUAUAUAUAUUAAUAAGUUUUUCUUGAUUUGGGAAAUUCACGAUGCUCUCAAUCGGAGCUCUGAGAACCGUCUGUGAUAGGAGAGAGAUGAUCAAUGAGAAGAUGAAGAUUCUACAAGACUUGGUCCCAGGAUGUAACAAGGUUAUUGGGAAAGAACUCAUAAUUAAUUACAUGCAGUUACUACAACAUCAGGUUGAGAUGGGACCAAAUCAAAGAUCUGAGAAGAUCCUCUCUACUCUCCAAUCCAAGAAAAAUUCUUCUUAGAGGAAGGUAUCAAAACCUUUUCCCAAGCAAAUCUUUCAGAAUUUAACUGCGAAGAAUUAUUCCAGACUGAGCUACUCCCUGCAGAAAAAAGAGAUGAUGAACCACUUGAUGAUCGACUCCCUCUCUUUGUGGGCUUGAGCAAAACCUGGAAUUUUUGUGUUUUGGAAUUAAUUUUGGGUUGAUUUGUAGGGGGGGUUUUAUGUCAGAAAUUAUAAAGUUAAUUUCAGAACUGAAUUGAUGUAUAUGAAAUGAACUAUUUCCAUGGAUUGUGGGUGCUUGAUGCCACUGUGACAAAAAAUUAUAUGAGAAAUACUAGAGGGAAGGGAUCACUAAGGCCCUGUUUGAUUUCA